CUUUUACUUUGCCUGCACACAAUACCAAGCAUGAGGAACUUCCACCUCAGAGAGACUGUGCACAUCCUGUAUAAAUGGUUCAUUGGUCUUUCAAACUAAUGGAUGCUUUAUUGGUGACAUCUCCAAACUCUGCCCCAUAUACCCAGUAUGCUUGAAGAGGUAAGAAUACCACAUUCAAAAUGAAGCUACACCUGUUCUGUGCCACACAUCUCAGAGGAAAUGAUGGUUUAACAUCUGUAACCAGAAGCAGAGACAUGUCAGAGGCACAUUAAAGAGGCUGUGAGACCGGCACAUCAUCCUUCCAUCACUGCACAGAGUCUGGUGUACCAUUAAUCAGAUGAUGCAGCCAUAAUAAAUAAUUCUAGCAAAGGAUCUACCCUCUAUUUGUGGAAAGGGAUUUUGACUCAAGGCCAGUGAAUGUCUUUUGAGGAGAAGGUGACAACCAUGGAGUCCGAGAAUGCGAGAACAUGUCUUCUACUGCCAAGGACCAGCUGACACCCACGGAGGCACAGAAUGGGAAAGGCUGCACGCACCAAAAGGGAGGAAGUUUAUAAAAAGAUUUUUGUUUUCGUUCAUGCUGUGACCUAAGUAACGUCCCAGUUUAAACAUUAAACUUGUGGUCAUUAACUUGUCACAGUGAUUUCUAGUUUAAAACUUUAUAGUAAAAUAAGAGUUAAGAAGGCAUGAAAAGGCUCAUUAAUUGAUAUGAUAAAGCUUGCUGAAAUGUAACACUUUCCACACUUCAUAUAGCUAGAGACAGUAAUUUUAAGUUAUACUGUUGAAACUACAUGUGUCGUUUAAGCCAGUGACUGAUUCACAUGAUGCCUUAAAGAUGAGACUAUGUAAAAAAUGCAUUUCCAAGAAAAUAAAAUAUCAAGGGUUUGGUCCCUCUUUUGCUAAUAAUAAAAAUAUUUUGUGAAAGUAUAGUUUGGACUUAGAAAAUGUAGGAGAAACAGGCAAUUAUAUGAUGCUCAUUAAGUUGCAAUCUGAUGUCUGUAGCAGAUGAUUUACGCAAGAAAAUUGACCAUGUCUCAUGCAUCACUAUUAAUUUUUACACUUCAAAAUAGGCACGAUUUAAGCCGAGGCCAACAUACUCUCUUGACAUUGAUGUUAUGUUACUGCCAGUGUUUUAAAGUAAGUGAAAUUACAGCAUUUAAUUUUCAUUAAAAAUCUGAAUGUGGCAUCAUUCCAGAGCUAGUAAAAUUCAUUCUAAAUUUUGACUGAAAGUAAUAAUGUGCAUUUUCUGUGGGGUUUAAUCUUUUCUUCUGAACGUGGUAUUUUUGUUUCCAUCUUAGUACACAUACUUUCAACCAUCUUCAUUUUUUAAUGAUCGUGAUAUA